GUGCCAGCAGCCGCGGUAAUACGGAGGGUGCGAGCGUUAAUCGGAAUUACUUGGAUUUCUGGGGCGUAAAGCGCGCGUAAGUGGCUUGGCACGCCGGUUGUGAAAGCCCCGGGCUCAACCUGGGAACGGCAUCCGGAACGGCCAGGCUAGAGUGCAGGAAAGGAAGGUAGAAUUCCCGGUGUAGCGGUGAAAUGCGUAAAGAUCGGGAGGAAUACCAGUGGCGAAGGCGGCCUUCUGGCCUGACACUGACACUGAGGUGCGAAAGCGUGGGUAGCAAACAGGAUUAGAUACCCUGGUAGUCC
rnacentral:rRNA from 1 species